UACGGAGGGGGCUAGCGUUGCUCGGAAUCACUGGGCGUAAAGCGCACGUAGGCGGCUUUCUAAGUCAGGGGUGAAAUCCUGGAGCUCAACUCCGGAACUGCCUUUGAUACUGGAAAGCUUGAGUUCGGGAGAGGUGAGUGGAACUGCGAGUGUAGAGGUGAAAUUCGUAGAUAUUCGCAAGAACACCAGUGGCGAAGGCGGCUCACUGGCCCGAUACUGACGCUGAGGUGCGAAAGCGUGGGGAGCAAACAGG
rnacentral:rRNA from 1 species